rnacentral:lncRNA from 1 species
UUUUUUUUUUUUGUUGUCUGGUGUUAUUAAAAACAAGGUAAGGAUACAUAAGCCGGACACACCGGAAUCAAAGCUCGCAAAUUCCGACUAAACUAAGCUCGGAAUUUUGAGAGACAAAGCUCGCAAACUCCAACUAAACUAAGGUUGAAAUUUCGAGAGACAAAAGCCCGCAGAUUCCGACUAACUAAGCUCGAAAUCUCGAGAGACAAAGUCCGACUACCCGGGAAACAACUUCAUAUACAAACAAAGACUCUUAAAUGAGAUAUGCAAACACAACUAUUCAAAACUCAAAAACUAGACCAAACCCGAGAGCGGAAAACGAUUAGACAUGUUGGAACACCGAAAAUAACCAACCGAGGCUUCAACUCUACUUGUCCUCGCUUGAUGUAGGUAGACUUCAGAAAUUUGAAACUUGUGCUUCCUUGGGAUGGCAAGACGAAUCUUUCAAAAGAUAAUUGACAAGACCGACGAAACUGCCAGGGGCCGGAGAAAUCGAAACAAAUGUCGAAACCAGUUAGGAGGCAGCACAAACAAAACAGGUCUCGACCAAACCUGAAAUUAACUUCGUGUGGAGGAGACUAAACAGCCGCUUAAUCGACUCACCAAAACCUUCAGAGGGAAAGAAUGGUGACGGAUGCGAUUCGAUUAAGUCCUAGGAGAAGGCCAGCAAAGAGGAAUGAACAGAAAUGACAUAAACUCAUAACUUCCGCUGAGAACCAGAGACUGAGAGCCACAAAAACCGGACCAUAUGGCUAAACCAUACACACAGCCCGUCGAGAAAGGGCCAAACAACCAGCUAAUUCUCAGAUAACGACCAAGCUAACG